rnacentral:rRNA from 1 species
ACGAACGCUGGCGGCGCGCCUAACACAUGCAAGUCGAACGAGCGAGAGAGAGCUUGCUUUCUCAAGCGAGUGGCGAACGGGUGAGUAACGCGUGAGGAACCUGCCUCAAAGAGGGGGACAACAGUUGGAAACGACUGCUAAUACCGCAUAAGCCCACGGGUCGGCAUCGACCAGAGGGAAAAGGAGCAAUCCGCUUUGAGAUGGCCUCGCGUCCGAUUAGCUAGUUGGUGAGGUAAUGGCCCACCAAGGCGACGAUCGGUAGCCGGACUGAGAGGUUGAACGGCCACAUUGGGACUGAGACACGGCCCAGACUCCUACGGGAGGCAGCAGUGGGGAAUAUUGCACAAUGGGGGAAACCCUGAUGCAGCGACGCCGCGUGGAGGAAGAAGGUCUUCGGAUUGUAAACUCCUGUUGUUGAGGAAGAUAAUGACGGUACUCAACAAGGAAGUGACGGCUAACUACGUGCCAGCAGCCGCGGUAAAACGUAGGUCACAAGCGUUGUCCGGAAUUACUGGGUGUAAAGGGAGCGCAGGCGGGAAGACAAGUUGGAAGUGAAAUCUAUGGGCUCAACCCAUAAACUGCUUUCAAAACUGUUUUUCUUGAGUAGUGCAGAGGUAGGCGGAAUUCCCGGUGUAGCGGUGGAAUGCGUAGAUAUCGGGAGGAACACCAGUGGCGAAGGCGGCCUACUGGGCACCAACUGACGCUGAGGCUCGAAAGUGUGGGUAGCAAACAGGAUUAGAUACCCUGGUAGUCCACACCGUAAACGAUGAUUACUAGGUGUUGGAGGAUUGACCCCUUCAGUGCCGCAGUUAACACAAUAAGUAAUCCACCUGGGGAGUACGACCGCAAGGUUGAAACUCAAAGGAAUUGACGGGGGCCCGCACAAGCAGUGGAGUAUGUGGUUUAAUUCGACGCAACGCGAAGAACCUUACCAAGUCUUGACAUCCUUCUGACCGGAACUUAACCGUUCCUUCCCUUCGGGGCAGAAGUGACAGGUGGUGCAUGGUUGUCGUCAGCUCGUGUCGUGAGAUGUUGGGUUAAGUCCCGCAACGAGCGCAACCCUUACUGUCAGUUACUACGCAAGAGGACUCUGGCAGGACUGCCGUUGACAAAACGGAGGAAGGUGGGGAUGACGUCAAAUCAUCAUGCCCUUUAUGACUUGGGCUACACACGUACUACAAUGGCGUUAAACAAAGAGAAGCAAGACCGCGAGGUGGAGCAAAACUCAGAAACAACGUCCCAGUUCGGACUGCAGGCUGCAACUCGCCUGCACGAAGUCGGAAUUGCUAGUAAUCGUGGAUCAGCAUGCCACGGUGAAUACGUUCCCGGGCCUUGUACACACCGCCCGUCACACCAUGGGAGUCAGUAACGCCCGAAGUCAGUGACCUAACCGCAAGGAAGGAGCUGCCGAAGGCGGGACCGAUGACUGGGGUG